CGGAAUCUCACCGCAAGAAGCCUCCAGCGCAGGAGCGGUCCCCUGGCACCCAGGAUGUUUAUUGACCUUCCUGGCCCCCAUGGCGUCCCCGUAUCGGGGCUUGUGCCCACCACCGCCAACACCCAGAGCCACAAAUGGCCCGGGAGAGCACUUUCCCGCCGUGUACCGGUGCCUCCACGGCUCUCACAUGCAACUUGCUGUGCCCAGCUUCCCCCCUCGGGGACCGAGGGCACUUCUGUGCCCGGAGACACCACCAGCCAUAGAGGCCAGGGAAGGACACCACAUGAGGCAAGACCGGUUAGGUUCUAAACAGGGCAAGAAUACUGGAAUGGGUUGCCAUUUCCUCCUCCAAGGGAUCUUCCCAACCCAGAAAUAGAACCUGUGUCCCCUGUCUCCUGCUUGGCAGGUGGAUCAUUACCACUGAGCCACCUGGGAAGCCCUUAGUAUGAGGAGGAAGCCCAGGCCUCGUGGGGAGGCUUCCUGAAGCUCUGCCAGCAAGCCCAGCUUCAGCUGCAGACGUGGUAGGGACGUCACCUCCAGUGGAGUCCAGCUCCUAGUGUUAGUAUCAACCCCAACUGUUCAUUCACUCAGCCAUGUUCGACUCUUCGUGACCCCAUGAAUUGCAGCACGCCAAGCCUCCCUGUCCAUCACCAACUCCCAGAGUUCACUCAGACUCACUUCCAUCGAGUCAGUGAUGCCAUCCAGCCAUCUCAUCCUCUGGCGUCCCCUUCUUCUCCUGCCCCCAAUCCCUCCCAGCAUCAGAGUCUUUUCCAAUGAGUCAACUCUUCGCAUGAAGUGGCCAAAGUACAGGAGUUUCAGCUUUAGCAUCAUUCCUUCCAAAGAAAUCCCAGUAACGAUAAGGCUUUGUAUUACACCUGGCCUUCCCAGAUGGCUCAGUGGUAAAGAAUCUACCUGCCAGUGCAGAAGACACAGGAGACAUGAGUUCCAUCCCUGAGUUUGGACGAUCCCCUGGAAACGAAAUGGCAACCCACUCCAGUAUUCUUGCCUUGAAAAUCCCAUGGACAGAGGAACCUGGUGGGCUACCAGCCAUGGGGUUUCAAAGAAUCAGAUGUUAUUGAACACAGAGGAGGAUCUGCUGGAGGAACCCCCCUGGGGCUGGAAUGAGGAACAGGGAUUGAGUACCCUGAAGGUUUAUGAAACAGCCAAAGAGAUUUCUUCAUAUUCAGGGAUAUACAUCCCUCUGCUCAGAUACAAUCUAAUUGGUGAAGGUGGGGCCCUUUGCUGCAUCAAUUUGAGGAGGAGCCCUGAUUUUUGGUUCUUACAGGUGGUGAGACCUAGAGAUUGACCUCCCAGAAAAAAGUACUGGCCCAGUUCUGGUGUCUCCAGAAGCAACUGCAUCAUUUAGAUGGUGUGGGAUUGUGUGAAGGAGGGUGUUUGGAGGUGGGCAUGUGUUGAAACCACAUAGUAUUACUGUGAAUCUGCCUGUCUGUGUAUAUCCUCAGAAAAAAAGAGGGACAUGUGCCCUCUUCAGCCUCACCUUUUCAUGCCAUGCCCUUCAUUCACACUUGCUCGUCCAGAUCUUCAUCAUCAUCAAUGACAUCCCCAAAGUGAAAGUGAAAGUGAAGUAGCUCAGUUGGGUCCAACUCUUUGGACCCCAUGGACUGUAGCCCACCAGGCUCCUCCAUCCAUGGGAUUCUCCAGGCAAGAAUACUGAAGUGGGUUGCCAUUUCCUUCUCCAGGGGAUCUUCCCAACCCAGGGAUCAAACCCAGGUCUCCCAAAUUGCAUGCAGAUGCUUUAACCUCGAGGCACCAGGGAAGCACAAUGACAUCUCCAAAAGCAUUCCUCAAAAAGAUUAACAGAGUUUUCUGACAUCUAGAAGGAAGAGAUCAGUCGGGCAGGUCCAAGCCCUUCCAGGGCAGGAAAGCAACCAUAUGCAGUAGCCCAGGGCAGUGCAGACUGUAUGGGGCCCAUUGAGCUGUGUGGGUCCAGACCUACUGACUCCAGCCUCAACUCCUGCUCAGGCCACUCAUGGUGACAAAGCCAGAUUCAAGGGUGCCGACCUGAGCUCAGGAGUGAGGACGAUGCUAAGAAAGUGGGGGAAGAGGGCUGCAGACAGAUUUCAUAUAUUUUAUAUAAGGUCCCAGGAACCCAGUUGCCUAUAAGAGACCUGGUCCUGCAGAAUGAUAAUCAUAAAAAGAUGGAAAGAGGAGAUGGGAAUAGGUUACAAGGAGAGUCUGUGGAUCAGAAAAAGAGAAAAGAAAAAAAAAAAAAAGAGAUAUGAAAGAAGAAAUAAAUGAUUUCCAUAUUCUU
ensembl:lncRNA